GAUGAACGCUGGCGGCGUGCCUAAUACAUGCAAGUCGAGCGAACAGACGAGGAGCUUGCUCCUCUGACGUUAGCGGCGGACGGGUGAGUAACACGUGGAUAACCUACCUAUAAGACUGGGAUAACUUCGGGAAACCGGAGCUAAUACCGGAUAAUAUAUUGAACCGCAUGGUUCAAUAGUGAAAGACGGUUUUGCUGUCACUUAUAGAUGGAUCCGCGCCGCAUUAGCUAGUUGGUAAGGUAACGGCUUACCAAGGCAACGAUGCGUAGCCGACCUGAGAGGGUGAUCGGCCACACUGGAACUGAGACACGGUCCAGACUCCUACGGGAGGCAGCAGGAGGGAAUCUUCCGCAAUAGGCGAAAGCCUGACGGAGCAACGCCGCGUGAGUGAUGAAGGUCUUCGGAUCGUAAAACUCUGUUAUUAGGGAAGAACAAAUGUGUAAGUAACUAUGCACGUCUUGACGGUACCUAAGCAGAAAGCCACGGCUAACUACGU
rnacentral:rRNA from 1 species